AAAAGCAAUUGUGGUUGGCAUGAAACCAUUUAUCUGCAGCAUCUAUCACUUGUUCACAGAUGGGAAAAUGUGUGCCUUUGAAGUGUUCCUAAAGGUUAGGAAAAAGAUGCUAAUCACAGGGUCUGGCAAGUAAGGGAGAUAUUGCACCUAGUCAAAGAUGACGUCAACCAGUUUUCUGCUUCGUGAUGGAGGCUUUGUGCAGCAGUGCAUCAUCAUGCAGAAGUAACAGCCUAGCUUGGCAAUUGUCCUCAAGGCUUCUUGUCAGAUCCUGCCUGACUCUGUCAAACAGUGAUGAAUAAUGAACUGCUUUGUGUGUUAUCAUCUUCCAGAUGGUCCAUGAAAACAUUUCCAUCCUUGUCCCAAAACGCGGAUGUAAUCACCUUUUCAGUGGAUAUUUGCUCUAGGAAUUGCUUUGGACGAGGGGAACCCAAAUGUUUCCACUCUUUCGACUGUUUGGUCUUGAAAUUGUACAAAUAUAACCGUGUCUGAUCCAUUAUGAGCAGCCUACACUAACAUUGCCUUUAUCAUCUUCAAAAUGGUGGAGAAUGGCCUGAGUUGACAUGCGUUCAUAUGUUUCUGGUCAGCACUGAGGCAUUUGGGGAUCACUUGGUUGUAACCAUCAUGUCCAGCACAUCAGUGAAUAUCUAGCCUAUGCGCUGUCGUGACAAAUUAAGGGCCACUACUAUGUGUUUAGCUGAGGUCCUUCUGUUUUCCGAAACCAUUUCAUGAACAGGGUCCAUAUUUGCCCCAGAGGUCGCUUUCACAAGUCUCGCAGGACAUUCUUCAUCUUCUAUGCUGAUGUGGCCUGUACAAAAUAUAGCCACCCAUCUUUUUUUACUAUAGCAUAUGUUGCUCAGUCUCAAAAAUCUCCUUUGCAGAAUUUCCUCUUGCUUAGAGAAAUUUGAUCACUGGCACUCUUUACGAGUAAAAUGCACCGUGAUUAACACCAUCUUCUUUUCAGAAGUGAAAAGUUAAGAAAAAAAUGGCUUAAAGGGUAAAAUUUGCAAUAAUAUUAUGCAAGAUAAUAUAUAUUUUAAUGUAACACUGAAAUUUUUUUAUUAGACAAGGGGAUAAUGGUAAGGCUCAUGAUUUAUCAAAUCUCCCUCGUAUAUCUGUUAUCUUUAUAUUUCUUCUUUUGUCAUCUAUGCUUCAUUCUUAUGGGGGGGGGGGAAGGGGCAUCAUUUUUUACAGGUUUUUUCCUUGGUACAUUAUUGUUAAGGGAUACUGAAUUCUCAAGUCAGAAAACACUUGUGUGCACAAACAAUGUAAAAAGCUGGCUAAGGUAGAAAGCUUUCUUGUGUGUUUUAUUGAUAGUAGAUGCACUGUUAAGUUUUCAAGGAAAAGGUAAAUGCUUGCUCCUUGCUGCUUCAGCGUAGUACUCUCAAUUCUGUCUCGAGCAUUUUCAACAUGAAUGCCAUGUUGCCAAGAGCCUAACAGUGAAUUGUCACACAAAUGCCAGCAUGUGUGCAGCUGAUUGUAGCAACUGUGGAACUGAGAGCUCUGCACAAGGAUGUGAAAGUUGUGCCAGAAUUUUAUAGAGAAUGUUAAAAAAGAUUACCAGUUUCAUGACGAUGUGAAGGUGACAAGCGGCAACCUAUCACUCCUUGCCACUUUCAACUAUUUUCUCAUCUUUUUCUCUCAUACCAUAAAUAAAAUACAGAAAGCACAAUGAAAUGCUUUAUAUUUACA
rnacentral:lncRNA from 1 species